rnacentral:lncRNA from 1 species
ACAGUUAUUUGCGAUUGUCUUCGAAUUGUGUAAAGUUUUAUGUUCAUGGCUUAUGUCAAAAACUUACGAUGGGUCUUGAGUCACCUUUGAUCGUAAAACGGACAAAUUGUGGAUGUCCAAAAUUCCAAAAUAAUUAUUUAUAUUUUAUUAAAUAUCUAAAAUUAAUAUUUUUUUCCAUUCUAAAUCUCUCAAUUCAGUCUCUCCGUCCACAGUUAGUUAGGACGAAACUUUGCGAAGUGUUUGUUUGUAAACAAUGAACUCUGUUAAAAAGAGUAAUAAAUAAUAUAUUCUUUGCAAUGAACCUAUAAAGUCAAAACAAUGAAGUUAAUUGAGUGCUAUUAAUCGAUUUAUAUAGGAUGCUGAGACUUGGACUCUGAGAGAAAGAUAUUUGGAAUAUGCCCUAUAACUGCAGACUCCAAUAUUGCAAAAAGCACCUGCAAUACAGUGGAAUAACAUAUUGCUGUGCUGAAGAAAAGAUGGCAAAGGCUUUUAGCUGAUAGGACAUUGUACUGAUGACCCUGUUAUCUGGUCAGAUCAUGUGUGUGUAUUAUCAAAAUAUUUGUAUUUGUAUAUUUGAUAUUUGAAAAUAAAAGAAUACUUACUUC